CAAGUCGCACGGUGUAGCAAUACACAGUGGCGAACGGGUGAGUAAUGAAUCGCUAAUGUGCCCCGGACUCUGGGAUAGCUACCCGAAAGGGUAGGUAAUACCAGAUGAUAUGCAGCUGUCGCAUGACAGUUGCCUCAAAGGUCCGCCGGUCUGGGAGCAGGCGAUUUCGUAUCAGCUUGUUGGUGAGGUAACGGCUCACCAAGGCGACGACGCGUAGCCGGACUGAGAGGUUGGCCGGCCACAUUGGGACUGAGACACUGCCCAGACUCCUACGGGGGGCUGCAGUAACGAAUCUUCCGCAAUGCACGAAAGUGUGACGGAGCGACGCCGCGUGUAGGACGAAGCCCUUCGGGGUGUAAACUACUGUCAGGGGUUAGAAAGUUCUGAUCAACCCCAGAGGAAGGGACGGCUAACUCUGUGCCAGCAGCCGCGGUAAGACAGAGGUCCCGAGCGUUAGGCGGAAUCACUGGGCUUAAAGCGUGUGUAGGCGGACUUCUAAGUACCUUGUGAAAUCCCACGGCUUAACCGUGGAACUGCUGGGUAUACUGGUUGUCUUGGGCCAUCUAGGGGCUACUGGAACAAACGGUGGAGCGGUGAAAUGCGUAGAUAUCGUUUGGAACGCCAAUGGUGAAAACAAGUAGCUGGGGAUGUGCCGACGCUGAGACACGAAAGCCAGGGGAGCGAACGGGAUUAGAUACCCCGGUAGUCCUGGCUGUAAACGAUGUCCACUAGAUUCUAGCGGCUCUGACGCUGUUAGGAUCGAAGCAAAAGUGCUAAGUGGACCGCCUGGGAAGUACGGUCGCAAGGCU
rnacentral:rRNA from 1 species